rnacentral:rRNA from 1 species
AUGGCUGACACCACACAUCACUGGUGUAAGUGGCACGUCCUGAAGAAGGCAAAAGAAUCUCUUGGCCCACAUUACACAAAGAGGAGCAAGUUUAGAACAGAGUUCCACAAGAUAAUACACCACCUGCUGACAGUUGAUGAGUUUGAGACUGCAUGGAAUCAAUUGACAGAAACACAUGGUUUGCAAAACCACCCUUACCUAACUCAAAUCUAUGAAACAAGAAUGAGAUGGACAAAAACAUAUUUCAAUGGAAAAUUCUAUGCAAAAAUGACCAAUACGCAGGGUAGCGAGAGUGCCAACCAUAUGCUUAAGAAUUAUGUCCCAACAAGCUGCCCCAUGCAUCUAUUCGUUCGCCAGUACAUGAGGCUUCUUUUCGGUAGGGAAGCAACUGAGAACUAUGCGGAAAGACGUACAAAGAUAGUAAGCUUUUCUUAA